rnacentral:lncRNA from 1 species
CUGGACCUUCGCAAAGUGAACGAGCUUCGGGACUUCGUGAAAAUGUAUAAGCAGGAUCCGAGCAUUCUGCAUACCAAGGAAAUGUGCUUUCUGAGGGAGCAGGUGGAGAGCAUGGGGGGUGAAGUACCAUGUGCUACUCAGAAAGCUAUUAUAAAUCAGAAGAAAAUAUCAAGGAAUUAAAAACAGGUAGUAAGAAGGUGGAGGAAAACAUAAGCACAGACGAACUAUCAAGUGAGGAAAGUGAUCUAGAAAUUGAUAACGAAGCUGUGAUUGAACCAGACACUGAUUCCCCUCAAGAAAUGGGAGAU